AUUGCCUCAGUAACGGCGAGUGAAGUGGCAACAGCUCAAAUUUGAAAUCUGGCCUCAGGCCCGAGUUGUAAUUUAUAGAGGAUGCUUUUGGUUAGGUGCCUUCCGAGUUCCCUGGAAUGGGACGCCAUAGAGGGUGAGAGCCCCGUCUGGUCGGAUGCCGAGCCUCUGUAAAGCUCCCUCGACGAGUCGAGUAGUUUGGGAAUGCUGCUCAAAAUGGGAGGUAUAUGUCUUCUAAAGCUAAAUACCGGGCAGAGACCGAUAGCGCACAAGUAGAGUGAUCGAAAGAUGAAAAGCACUUUGAAAAGAGAGUUAAAUAGCACGUGAAAUUGUUAAAAGGGAAGCGUUUAUGACCAGACUUGCGCCGACUGAUCAACCAGCGUUCUCGCUGGUGCACUCUGUCGGCUCAGGCCAGCAUCGGUUCGCCCCGGGGGACAAAAGCUAGGGGAAUGUGGCUCUUCGGAGUGUUAUAGCCCCUAGCAUAAUACCCUGAGGCGGACCGAGGUUCGCGCACUGCAUGGAUGCUGGCGUAAUGGUCAUCAACGACCCGUCUUGAAACACGGACCAAGGAGUCGUCUUCGUAUGCGAGUGUUCGGGUGUCAAACCCCUACGCGUAAUGAAAGUGAACGCAGGUGAGAGCUUCGGCGCAUCAUCGACCGAUCCUGAUGUUCUCGGAUGGAUUUGAGUAAGAGCAUACGGGGCCGGACCCGAAAGAAGGUGAACUAUGCUUGUAUAGGGUGAAGCCUGGGGAAACCCCGGUGGAGGCUCGCAGCGGUUCUGACGUGCAAAUCGAUCGUCAAAUAUGAGCAUGGGGGCGAAAGACUAAU
rnacentral:rRNA from 1 species